rnacentral:tRNA from 1 species
UUAAAGACUGGGAGUUUUAACCUCUCCUUAAUGA